ACUCGAACUUCAUAUUCUCCACCUCUUCCCGUACUGAAUCGAACAGCUCAGUCGAGAGAUAACGCUCCCCAAAGCUUGGCAAUAUGACCUGCAAACAAUUUUUCCUUCUACGAUUGAU